AGGAAAAUUUAUCAUUGGCUAAUCCUUGAAAACAAGGAUAACAACUUCUAACCAUUGAUUGAUGUUAAUCCAAUGGCCAAAACUGUUCUUUUUUUGGUUCUUCUCCUCUCUUGUCAUUGGCUGAUUUUCUAACACAAAGAUUGAUAUUCUUAGCCAUUGAUUGAUGUUAAUCUAAUGGCUAGAAAUCAUUCAUUGAAAACAUUCAUUUGUUUUCUCCUCUCUUCCUUCUACGACAGAUCUAUCAUCUCCAUCUUCUCUUUUGUUUCCAAAUCUUCUUCUUCUUCACUCUCCUCUGUCCAAUUCUCUCAUCCCACUGCCUCCCUCCAGACGAAAAUGGGUGCUUUCAAGGUUGUUAAAAUAGCUAUCCCAACAGAGAGGGAUGUGCAGCCCAAAAGUCACCGGAUAAUGCUCUGGGCUACGAAAAAAGUUUCACCGGAUUAGAAGAGCUGGUGCCUCCACAGACUCUUGAGUAGUUCGAGAAGAUACGGAGAGAAGACAGAGCCGGAAAUGGAUUUCCACCUCUGCAAAGGAGGGAGGGGAAGAAGACGCAACGACGGCGAGAUGGCGGAAGAAGAUUGGAGGAGAGGAAGAUCUGGUGGAGAUGACAACAGCGAGCACGUCCGAGAUGAGGAAGAAGACGCGACGGCAGCUGAGGAAGAAGACGCGACGGUGGCUGAGGAAGAAGACGCGGCGGAGCAGCGGCAGUGACAAGGCGGAAGACAGAUGAGCUAUGAGUUUUUGUGUUAAACGGUUAACCACUUACCAUUUCAGACUAUAAGAUCAGCUAAGGAUGAGAAGACAAAUCGAGCAAGAGAGAGGAAGAGAUAAGACAGAUCUAGUGGGAGAGGGAAGAAGAGAACGCACGGUGAGGAAGAGAAGAUAUUAGGUUUACACUUUUUUUUAAUGAAAAUUUGGGUGGCUGUGAAUUAAACCGCGUUCCUGUAAUUGGUUUACCCGGGAAAUAUUUUGAUGAAAUUUUUUGCCCGGGAGUUAAAAGUUUGUAGUUACUUUCGUACUUUUACAUAAUAUGAAAUCCAAACACUUUUACUU